GCCUGGCUGGCUCAGUCGGUUGAGCGUCCGACUUCAUCUCAGGUCACGAUCUCCCAGCUUGUGGGUUCGAGCCCCGCGUCGGGCU
rnacentral:tRNA from 1 species